rnacentral:rRNA from 1 species
GUGGGGAAUAUUGGACAAUGGGCGAAAGCCUGAUCCAGCCAUGCCGCGUGUGUGAAGAAGGUCUUCGGAUUGUAAAGCACUUUAAGUUGGGAGGAAGGGUAGUAACCUAAUACGUUGCUACUUUGACGUUACCGACAGAAUAAGCACCGGCUAACUUCGUGCCAGCAGCCGCGGUAAUACGAAGGGUGCAAGCGUUAAUCGGAAUUACUGGGCGUAAAGCGCGCGUAGGUGGUUCAGCAAGUUGAAGGUGAAAUCCCCGGGCUCAACCUGGGAACUGCAUUUGUGACUGUAUAGCUAGAGUACGGUAGAGGGGGAUGGAAUUUCCUGUGUAGCGGUGAAAUGCGUAGAUAUAGGAAGGAACACCAGUGGCGAAGGCGACUACCUGGACUGAUACUGACACUGAGGUGCGAAAGCGUGGGGAGCAAACAGGAUUAGAAACCCGUGUAGUCC